rnacentral:RNase_P_RNA from 2 species
UGGGUAAACCUGACGAUCGCGCACUUCGGUGUGAGGAAAGUCCGGGCUCCGCAGGGCAAGGAUGCCGGAUAACGUCCGGCGUAGGUAACUAUAGGGAAAGUGCAACAGAAACAUUCCGCCGAAACGGGUAAUGCCGUGGUAAGGUUGAAAUGGUGAGGUAAGAGCUCACCGGCGUUCUGGAGACAGGACGGCCGUGUAAACCCCAUCCGGAGCAAGACUAAGAACGGGUCGUAGAGUGCAGUUGCCCGCUGCCGCCCUAAGGUAAGUCGCUGGAUGCUGCAAGCAAUUGCAGUACAAGAUGGAUGAUCGUCUAAUACAGAACCCGGCUUACGGUUUGCCCAUGUA